UGCACAUUCAACUGUCAGACAAAGGCAGGGAAGGCAGAUGCAAAAUAAAUCCUUCCUCGAAACCCAAAACUCAUUCUUCAGUAUGAGUUUUGAUAUAUAUAUAUAUAUAUAAGAAGGAAUAUG
rnacentral:snoRNA from 1 species